GGGCUGUUAGCUCAGUUGGUAGAGCGCUUCAUUCGCAUUGAAGAGGCCAGCGGUUCGACUCCGCUACAGUCCACCA
rnacentral:tRNA from 1 species